UGUAGCUCAGUUGAUAGAGUCCUUGCCUAGCAUGCAUGAAGCCCUGGGUUUGAUCCCCAGCA
rnacentral:tRNA from 1 species